CCGUAGCCAUUUUAGCUGAAG
rnacentral:sRNA from 1 species